GCGAGAGUAGCUCAGUGGUAGAGCUCUACCUUGCCAAGGUAGCUGUCGCGAGUUCAAAUCUCGUCUCUCGCU
rnacentral:tRNA from 1 species